GUAGCUCAGCAGGAUAGAGCAGCGGUUUCCUAAACCGAAGAUCGCGCGUUCGAAUCGCGCC
rnacentral:tRNA from 1 species